rnacentral:rRNA from 1 species
UAAUACGUAAGUGGCGAGCGUUAUCCGGAUUCACUGGGCAUAAAGAGCACGUAGGCGGUAGUUUAAGUCAGAUGUUAAAUCCCACAGCCUAACUGUGGCCCGCAUUUGAUACUGAAUACUAGAGAUCAGGAGAGGGAAGCGGAACUCACGGUGUAGCGGUGAAAUGCGUAGAUAUCGUGAGGAACACCAGUGGCGAAGGCGGCUUCCUGGACUGAUUCUGACGUUGAGGUGCGAAAGCGUGGGGAGCGAACGGGAUUAGAUACCCCGGUAGUCCACGCCGUAAACUGUGUUCACUAGGUGUAGGAGGUAUCGACCCCCUCUGUGCCAAAGAUAAUUCGUUAAGUGAACCGCCUGGGCAGUACGACCGCAAGGUUA